CAGUAGCACGGUAAAACGGAGGGAGCUAGCGUUGUUCGGAAUUACUGGGCGUAAAGCGCGCGUAGGCGGUUACUCAAGUCAGAGGUGAAAGCCCGGGGCUCAACCCCGGAACUGCCUUUGAAACUAGGUGACUAGAAUCUUGGAGAGGUCAGUGGAAUUCCGAGUGUAGAGGUGAAAUUCGUAGAUAUUCGGAAGAACACCAGUGGCGAAGGCGACUGACUGGACAAGUAUUGACGCUGAGGUGCGAAAGCGUGGGGAGCAAACAGGAUUAGAUACCCCCGUAGUCCCUGUCUCUUAUACA
rnacentral:rRNA from 1 species